CAACGAUGAAGAGUUUGAUCCUGGCUCAGGAUGAACGCUAGCGGCAGGCCUAACACAUGCAAGUCGAGGGGCAGCGGGGAUAAGCUUGCUUAUCUGCCGGCGACCGGCGCACGGGUGCGUAACGCGUAUAGAAUCUGCCUUGUACUAGGGAAUAGCCCAGAGAAAUUU
rnacentral:rRNA from 1 species